rnacentral:lncRNA from 1 species
CUCUUUUGUUCUGGAACGGGCCGAGCCCCAGGAAGUGGAGCUGCGGAGCUGAGGCCUCACCGUGUCUUGGCCCACCCUGCUCAGCUGAUAGGAAGGUGUGUCACCUCUUUCCUAAUCGGGGAAAGAAAGGUAUUGUCACUUCUCAGAAUUGGAGAGCGCGGCAAGGAGUGCACAGGGCCAGGUGUCUUCUCGCUCCCACAGCCAAGCAGCAGAUGCAGAGUCCCACGCGCUGCCUGUGGCCAUCAAGUCGAUAUAGAGCCUCGUGGCGGCUUGGCCCUUGUGAAUCUUCCACGUAUCGAUGGCGCACCUACCUUGUGCCAGGCGCAGCGGAUCCCACAAUGUAAAAGAAGAGGAAAUACACUGCGACAUGUGAUAUGGAGAGACAUGAAACAAAUCAGCAGAGGCAAGAUCAUGGAGUCACUGAAGGCUUUCAAGCAAGGGAUUAUUAGCAGCCCAAUUUGCUGGGUUUUAGAAAGACACCGGCUGCACUGUGGCCGACAGAGGAAAAGCCAGAGACAGGGAGAUCCGCCCCCUAAAUGGGAGAGGGUGGCCUGAACUAGAGUAACCGCAGGGAGGGUGGAGCGCUGAUCAUUUCAAGGAUCUUCAGGAACUGAAAUGAUCAGAACUUGGGAAUGACUGCAUGUGCGAAUAAGGGGGAAAAGUCAAGGAAAUGCCCAGGUUUGGGGCCCAAGGAACAGGUUUGGGAGGCCGAGGUGAGGAGUUCAGCUUUGGACAUAAUGAGUUUGAGAUGCCCACAGGACAUCCAAAUACAAAUGUUAAAGGGGUAACUGAAUAUAUGUGACUGGAGUUUGCGAAAUCAAGGCUGGUGAUAGAGAUUCUGGAAUCUUCUGAAAGCAGAUGGCAAUUGAAGCUAUGGAAAUGGAUGAGAGAGUGUGUAAAGAGCACGAGGGCCCAGGUUAGAACAGCAAGGGCAGGUAGAGAAGUCACCAAAGGACACUGACCAGAUCUGUCCCAUGAUGAAUCUGGGUUGUCCCUGUGUGAGCCCCUUGAACCAACAGAUUGUGGCAGAGUGACAUUGCACCAGUCUGAGACCUACACCUUAAGGAUGCCUGGCAGCUCCUGCUUUUGUGUUCCUCGGAGUCAUGAGCCACGAAGUCAAGCUACCCUGCUGGAGAGACCAGCUGAAGAAGCCUCUUGAAGAGGACCUGAGACUUAAGGCUCAGCCAUCCCAGACUGUGAGUUAAACCUCCAGAUGAGUCCAACCCCACCUGCUAUCUGACUACAGCUACAUAGACGACAAACCACCUAAGUGAUUCCAGUCAACCCACACAACUGUAAAAGAUAAUAAAAGUUGUUUAAGUCA